CCGUUAGUUGCAAGCACACAGCCGAAACAUCCCACUUGCCCCGUCUUUCCUCCACUUUAACCUAUCCCUGUAUUCAUUUUACUUUUGUAAGUGUCCAUCCAUAAUAUUAAAGCCAAGGCCCCGUUCUGAGGGUCAACGGAAUAUGAUAGUGUAAAUAUAGGGACUGGCUUAACUGAUGUUCUCUAGGACUAGGAAUGAGAGAAACAAUCCUCUGUAGAAAAAGAAAAAUCAUGAGAAACGGUGAAGUGAGCAGAUGUGGGCUGUGCCUUUUUAUAAUGAACAUGCUAAAUUAGUUAAGGAAGUGGGCAAUAUAUAAAGCAGCUGAGUGAGCCUCCCUUCUGCUUACCACCAGAGGUCAGCCUAAAGGAUUAUGGAAGUGUACAGCUGUGAGAUCCCCUUUGCCUGUGAACCUGAACAGAACACCACACCAUAUAUCUUUGUCUUGUUGAUGUCAUGUGACUGUUUGUCUGGAAUGGAUGUGUUGAUGCUGCUGUCUUGGUCCAGUUCUCUCUUGAAAAAUGUAAAAAAAAAUGUAUCUCCACGAGACUAACCUGGUUAAAUAAGGGUGAAAUAAAUAAUCAGCAGUUCUCGUUGUGGCUGGCCAUCGUCUCGGAGACCAGUGGCGAGAUAUGUGACAGAUGGUGGCUGGUAGUGGGGCAGAGGGGACAGCGGAGGGGCCCAGGGCAGGCUUGGCAGUGCCCCCAGUACCUGGUGUUCUUUCCUGUGACUGCUGCACCGCUGCACUACCAUUACUGCUCUGUCCUGUCCUCAUCAGCCUGUCAGUGAUAGAAAUCUCCCCAAGCACUUUAUAAAACGCAAUAAAGUGGGGAGUUUUCUUCCAUUUUAACUGCAUUGUUCUGCAGUGGCUGUAGACCUGUGCCAGUUUAACUAUGCAGUGAAGGCAUCCUAUUGGGCACACACUGGUUGAAUCAAUGUUGUUUCCAUGUCAUUUCAAUGAAAUCACGUUGAACCAACAUGGAAUGGAUGUCGAAUUGCCGUCAGUGGGAUGGCAGUGGCUCAUGUUUGAGUGAGACAAACGUAUAGAAACACAGUAUCACCCACAAGCCAAAUGAGUGAAUGAAGUUGUCAGCACAAAUCAGAUGUUAUACCACCCCUGCUGACAUUAUCUGAAGUUACGGAACCACCAAUUACAUCGCACUAAAUCAUUGAGCCGCCCACCAUUACCAGACCACUGCUACAACAGCCUCAAGCUGUAGAGCAAGCAGUCAAAUGAGUUCUCUCGUCAUAAGAAACCCCAUUGCUGUUAACACUCAUUUUUUAGUUGCUGUGCCAGGCAGUCAGAAUCUCACAUUCGCCUCAGAAUGUCUCUCAGUAGACUAGUGUGUGUAGGUGGCAGCAGCCCCAGUAGUUCUGUGCUGUGCUGUCUCCCAUGCACCCAGUGGAAUCGGGCCACAGACUUGUCAAACAGCAGGGCUUUAAUGAGAUGUAAUGCCUCUCUCUCUCUCUCUUUCCUAAAGCGAACACUGACCUCCCGUUGCGCUGUGGUGAUCAGAACAGAGCUGAUCCCUGCUGCACUCAGCUGCUCUGAACAAAGAUAGUGCUUCAAGUGCAUUUUUAGAGUGUGACUUCCUCAUUUAAUCAGCACUCGUUGACAGAGAGAAAGGGGAAGGAGAGAGGAGCGGACGAGAGGAGUGGCUGCAUGGGAAUUGAUUUUUAACAGCCAACUUCCAUGUCAUCUCUUUGAAAUACAAAACUUUUUUUGAAGUUGAAUGGAGAAUUCCAUUAUUUUUAUUGAAACCAACGAAGUGGAAUAAAAAGUUUGAAAAUGGAGAGAUUUAGGAUCAAAGGCCUGACUGAGCCAUCACUUCACACAGCUAAUUACCCUGAUCUCACUGUACAGUAGAGUUAAUGAAAACAAGAGACCGAUUCAUCAUGGCAUCUCUGAGUGGUCCUUUUCAAGGUCCUUAGAGAGCUUAGCCAGAAACAUGCAGGGACAUUAAUCUGUUGUCUGUUACAAUAAACAACAACAAUCGCACUGAAUGGGGUCUUCAUAAGUAACUGCUGGCAAUAACUCAAGAUGACGCUAACAAGUUAGAAUUAUACAUCCCCACUAUAUGUAGUUACUUUAAUACUGUAACUAUUCUGAAGCCAAAUUCAUAUGGACUAGGUGAGGAAUCCCAGUUAGCUAUAAUAGGAAUUUCUUCUACCCUUGUAUCGGCUGUGUGCUUUGACAUGGGACUGGUUAAGGCUCAGGUGCCCACUGUCUACGGCUCGAAUUAUGUGCCUGAACUGACUAACACAACUCCUACCCGUCAACUGCUUAUUGACCAUGGACGCCCCUCGACCACCAUGGAUGAUGGUCUUCCUACACACCACAAACGGUCAUCACAGCCUCAAGCCCAGGUACCGUGUGAACCAGUUUGCAAUGUCACUUAGGUGCACGGUUCACCCGACACAGAUUAAUAAGGCUAAUCCUGGACAAAAAUAAAUCAAUUAUAUGGAGAUUCUCUAUUGAGCGUACUGUUUAUUCCAGGACUAGGCUUAAUCUGUGUCUGAGAAACUGCCCCUUACUGUUUUAAGAUUUGUUUUUAAUUACCGCCUCCAUGUAAAAAAAGUGAAUUGUUGCGCUAUACAUUAUGGGAAUAGUUAUACAUUAAAAGGGAAUAGUUAUUUUUUAGUAUUGGGUAACUUGGAGUGAUGCUUCAUUCAUAAUCAUAUUUGUUUGAUGUACCGUGUUUCUUUAUUUCUAUAAGUCAAUAUUACUUCAGUCUUACUAAGUCUACACUACAUAUUGAGUUGAAACAUUCCAUUUAAGCAUGUCAUUUCCUUAUUUGUUCUAAUGGACGAGUCUCUUCCCAGUGUUAACUGAGAGCGUGUGUCGACUUGCGAUCAUGUCUCCUUUACUGUAUAGUAUGAUACAUGUCGCAUUUUAUAUAGAAGUACUACUAUGGCAAUACUCAUGAAGACCCUGCCAGUUACAGCUGUUUAAUGGGGGAGACGUGGCCAUGGAGUGCUCCCUCCACCAACAGAUGCAUUUCACCACGUUUGACUUCCUCCCUCCCUAGGCCCAGAGGGGACUGAAGUCUGCUUAAUCACACCCCAUAGAGCAUCCCAUCCUCCUUCUCCUUUCCCCUAUGUUCUCUCUCCUUCCAUCCAUGCAGAGCACCAGACCGUGCUUUCUGCAUUGGCACUGGCCUCUGACCCGAGGCAGGGCACCUCAUGCCCACAUGCCUCUUCCUUCCCAGGCAACAAGAAAUAGUCCGGUCGUUGCUGGGUGAAAUGGACAAGUCACUCCUACGAGAGGAGAACUGUAAGAGCAAGAAGCAGCUGGACUCCCAGGAAUUUUCCAUCGUUCUUCGGCCUCCAGGAAUAUAUAUGCUAAUUAAAGCUGACUUCCUAUAUCCUGAGUACAACAGAGACAGUAUGGUUGACUAGGGACUGUGACUUUAAUAAAGCACCCAGAGGAAACCCAUAAAGACUACAUGGAGGCUGGGAGGAAUAUUGUGUAUAGGUGGGACUUGAGAGGUGACAGUAACAGACAUCAUAUUUAUGACUUCAACAAAUGAUACCAUAUCUUAUUCAAGGUUACUUGUAGUUAACUUGAUUUGGAAUGUGCUGUGACUCAUGACACUCAAAGGACCUAGAAAGUGAAACCACACUAUGUCCAUCCUCCUGGAGCCCUGAGCCCUGUGUCUUUGUUUUGAAAUGGAUUUCUGACAGCGAUUCACAUAUUCAUUGCAAUGAAUGGAUGGCUAUUUAUCGCCUUUCUUGACUCUGAAGACUUGGAUUCUACAUUUCUGUGCAUCCAGUUGCAGUGUUGUACGUUCUGAUACCUCCCUGUGGGUGUCAGGGUUACUGCUAUGAAAUACUGAUGAACAGAAAGGCUGUUGGCUAAAUACAGGAGCUGUAUUAGUUCAAUGAAUUCACAAUGUUAAUUCACAAAAGCAUUCUAUAACAAUUACUUCAUACAAAAUACUGCACAGAGUCAUGUCACUGCAAUUGUUUUAAAUUACAUUUCUAGAGGGGGAUGGGAACCCUUACUGUCUUGACUUUCCAUUAAUGUAUGACCUACUUUGAAAAGAUAUCUUUAAAAAAACAGGAAAUCUAACUUUUUUUUUAUUUUUUUUAUUUCAGUAUGUGUACAAGCAUGGUUGCAGUGUACAGUAUAAACACUAGGGGGUUUAUUGACACCAUUUAUAUUUUUAAUAUUUGAGGCUCAUUAUUAUUUUGUUCCCAUGCUAGAUUUACCAAAACAUGCGCACACACGCAUUGCGAAACGUGGCUUGCAUUACAGGAGCCAGGAUUCAAUACGUGUACCGUAUAAGGAUAAUGGAUGUGUACGCGUCAGUAAAUUAGACCAGCUCUGUUGUUCAUUUGCUCCUCACUACCAGUAGACCCAACAUCCAAGCCGCGUGUGCAUGCUCAUUGCAAAGACGUCUUAAUAUGGAAAACACUGAGACGCAGCUGGUGCGAGACAACGUGACAGUUCGACCAGGAUCAUUUUCUUGUCUUUCCGAUUUCUAUUGUGAUAUUUAGCUUUAGUAUGAGUUUACUGAGCUUGAUGGCAUGUAUUGUGUUUACUUCCGUCCCGACAUAUUGUUAGUCGACAACUCUGCAAGCUGCGUUCCAGUAAGGAAUAAAUCAUGUAAUAAUCAUAACAUUAUGGAAUAUCGAUUGGAGGAUUCAUUACUUGGUACAUGGAGAAAUAUGUAGAAUUAAUGUGGAAUAUUUUUUUGUCAACUUUUUAUUGAUCAUGUACAUAUUUCCAAUGUUUUAGCAAUUGUCAGUGCAGAAACAUCGCUGCCAAAGUCUUGAUGUAUUUUUUUUUACACACUCUUGCAAGUGAACAGAAAAGCUUAGAAGUAAACAUGUUUUUACCUACAUAAUAAAAUCUAUGUCGUCUGUUAACCUCAUGUUUUACCAUCCUGUUUCAUUCAAUUAAAGUGAUAAGAAUGUGAAAAUGA